rnacentral:rRNA from 1 species
GAACCGUGCAAACGUUGUUCGGAAUCACUGGGCUUAAAGGGCGCGUAGGCGGGCAAUCAAGUCCGGGGUGAAAUCUUUCGGCUUAACCGGAAAAUGGCCUUGGAUACUGAUUGCCUCGAGUGAGGUAGGGGCAGGUGGAACUUCCGGUGGAGCGGUGAAAUGCGUUGAUAUCGGAAGGAACGCCGGUGGCGAAAGCGACCUGCUGGACCUCUUCUGACGCUGAGGCGCGAAAGCUAGGGGAGCGAACGGGAUUAGAUACCCCGGUAGUCCUAGCCCUAAACGAUGGGUACUAGGUUGCGGACUUGACAUGGGUUCGCAGCCGAAGCAAAAGUGUUAAGUACCCCGCCUGGGGAGUAUGGUCGCAAGGCUGAA